AUACGGAGGAUGCAAGCGUUAUCCGGAUUUAUUGGGCUUAAAGGGUGCGUAGGCGGUUUGCUAAGCGGGAGGUGAAAUGCCGGCGCUCAACGUCGGAAGUGCCUCCCGAACUGGUGGACUUGAAUGACUCUGCCGUGGGAGGAAUGUGUAGUGUAGCGGUGAAAUGCUUAGAGAUUACACAGAACACCGAUUGCGAAGGCAUCUCACGAAGGGUUGAUUGACGCUGAGGCACGAAAGCGUGGGGAUCAAACAGGAUUAGAUACCCUGGUAGUCCACGCAGUAAACGAUGAUGGCUAACCGCUGGGCUUAUCAGUUCAGUGGCCAAGCGAAAGCGAUAAGCCAUCCACCUGGGGAGUACGACCGCAAGGUUGAAACUCAAAGGAAUUGACGGGG
rnacentral:rRNA from 1 species